AGUGAACGCUGGCGGUAGGCCUAACACAUGCAAGUCGAACGGCAGCACAGUAAGAGCUUGCUCUUACGGGUGGCGAGUGGCGGACGGGUGAGGAAUACAUCGGAAUCUACUUUUUCGUGGGGGAUAGCGUAGGGAAACUUACGCUAAUACCGCAUACGACCUACGGGUGAAAGCAGGGGAUCUUCGGACCUUGCGCGAUUGAAUGAGCCGAUGUCGGAUUAGCUAGUUGGCGGGGUAAAGGCCCACCAAGGCGACGAUCCGUAGCUGGUCUGAGAGGAUGAUCAGCCACACUGGAACUGAGACACGGUCCAGACUCCUACGGGAGGCAGCAGUGGGGAAUAUUGGACAAUGGGCGCAAGCCUGAUCCAGCCAUACCGCGUGGGUGAAGAAGGCCGUCGGGUUGUAAAGCCCUUUUGUUGGGAAAGAAAAGCAGCAGGUUAAUACCCCGCUGUUCUGACGGUACCCAAAGAAUAAGCACCGGCUAACUUCGUG
rnacentral:rRNA from 1 species